rnacentral:misc_RNA from 1 species
GAAAUGCGAUAAGUAGUGUGAAUUGCAGAAUUCAGUGAAUCAUCGAAUCUUUGAACGCACAUUGCGCCCCUUGGUAUUCCAUGGGGCAUGCCUGUUCGAGCGUCAUUUGUACCCUCAAGCUCUGCUUGGUGUUAGGUGUUUGUCCCCGUCUCCGCGCGUGGACUCGCCCCAAAGUGAUUGGCAGCCGGCGUACUGGUCCCGGAGCGCAGCACAUGUCGCGCAAACGAGUGCCUUGGUACGGCGGCGUCCAUAAGCCCCUCUCUCACGCUCUUGACCUCGGAUCAGGUAGGGAUACCCGCUGAACUUAAGC